rnacentral:rRNA from 1 species
CAGGGGAAGAAGGAGCUGAUAUCAGGCUCUUUUUGCCCAUAACAUCUAGCUCCGCCACACCCCCAAGGGUAUUCAGCAGUGACAAACAUUGAAAAUUAGCGCAAGCUAAAUUCAGUUAUAGCUAAAAAAACCGGUUAAUCUCGUGCCAGCCACCGCGGUUAUACGGGUAGGUUUAAACUGAUAAUAUCGGCACAAAGUGUGGUUAACAUUUUUCCCCAAUAAAGCAAAAAUAAAGCCUAGCUGUGAAAUGCUUCCGCUUUUACUAAUUCCAACCACGAAAGUAGCUUUAACCCCUUUUGAACCCACGACCGCUAGAACCCAAACUGGGAUUAGAUACCCCACUAUGCCUAGCCGUAAACUUUGACAUUUCCGCCUGGGAACUACGAGCAUAAGCUUAAAACCCAAAAGACUUGGCGGUGCCCUAUACCUUCUAGAGGAGCCUGUUCUAUAAUCGAUAACCCCCGAUAAACCUCACCUCUUCUUGCCUAUACCGUCUGUAUACCUCCGUCGUCAACUGACCCCUCAAGAGCUGUCAGUCAAAUGGGCUUUUCAACAAGUCAGGUCAAGGUGCAGCGAAUGAAGAGGAAAGAAAUGGGCUACAUUUUCUACCUGUAGAUUAUACGGAAAAUCAAAAUGAAAUCUGAUCGGAAGGCGGAUUUAGCAGUAAAAAGAGAUCAGAAAGCUCUUUUUAAAUAGGCCCUAGGGCGCGUACACACCGCCCGUC